rnacentral:rRNA from 1 species
UACGGAGGGGGCUAGCGUUGUUCGGAAUUACUGGGCGUAAAGCGCACGUAGGCGGAUUGGAAAGUUGGGGGUGAAAUCCCAGGGCUCAACCCUGGAACUGCCUUCAAAACUCCCAGUCUGGAGGUCGAGAGAGGUGAGUGGAAUUCCGAGUGUAGUGGUGAAAUUCGUAGAUAUUCGGAGGAACACCAGUGGCGAAGGCGGCUCACUGGCUCGAUACUGACGCUGAGGUGCGAAAGCGUGGGGAGCAAACAGG